AUUGAACGCUGGCGGCAUGCCUUACACAUGCAAGUCGAACGGCAGCACGGGAGCAAUCCUGGUGGCGAGUGGCGAACGGGUGAGUAAUAUAUCGGAACGUGCCCAGUCGUGGAGGAUAACGCAGCGAAAGCUGUGCUAAUACCGCAUACGAUCUACGGAUGAAAGCGGGGGAUCGCAAGACCUCGCGCGAUUGGAGCGGCCGAUAUCAGAUUAGCUAGUUGGUGGGGUAAAGGCCCACCAAGGCGACGAUCUGUAGCUGGUCUGAGAGGACGACCAGCCACACUGGAACUGAGACACGGUCCAGACUCCUACGGGAGGCAGCAGUGGGGAAUUUUGGACAAUGGGCGCAAGCCUGAUCCAGCAAUGCCGCGUGCAGGAUGAAGGCCUUCGGGUUGUAAACUGCUUUUGUACGGAACGAAACGGCUCCUUCUAAUACAAGGGGCUAAUGACGGUACCGUAAGAAUAAGCACCGGCUAACUACGUGCCAGCCGCCGCCGUAACAC
rnacentral:rRNA from 1 species